rnacentral:lncRNA from 1 species
CUUGUAAAGAAAUCAAAGCUGGCUGACAAUGAUGCUUUGGAGCUUAGCCAGAACAUGACCUUUUAUUCCAAAAAGAAUUUGACAGUGACGUUGGGUUGAAUCUAGCCUAUGCGGAGUCGCCCUAAAACGUCUUUCUACGCCUGUCACGUUAAGUUAGGUUCAAUCAAAUGUCAUCUCUUUUAUGCCUCACUAUACAGUUGUAUGCAAAAACAUAUGUUUGAUAAUGUUAUGUAGUUCCUAACUAGAGGCCUUUCUUGAAGUUAAGAAUGCAAACACUGAACUGAACACCGCAAGACGGACAUAUCAAUCAAAUUAAAGCUCCUCAUUUGCCUUCUUAACUGCCUGGAUGCAUUGUCGAAAUUGUUUAGAAUGUUUUUUUAUUGUAUUCAAAAAUCAUCAUCAGAUAUGCAGGGGGGUGCCAACUGAACAAUAUCAGAUUUUGUAGCAUUUGGUUAAAGAAGCUAUGCACAUCAAGCAAAUAAUGAUAGAUAACCGUAUGUCUUCCUCCAUCCAAAGGGUUUCUAGAUUGCAGCAGAAUUGAAAUCCAGUCUUGUUAUAUUGAAUUUUGAACAAUAUCAGUGCAGUGAUGUUUCAUAUGAUCCUUUUUGAUUAGUGUGAAUUGGUGCUGCUAGUCUGACAGUAUACCAUUAAGGCCAACGUCAUUGGUACCAGCCGUCUGAAAGACUACUCUAAGCACAAAACAGCCAGCUUAAUAUUUGACUUUGGUUUUACAAUCCUACAGAAGCACAAUGCGCUUCUUUUUUACACAAUACAAUCCUUUGUCUAAUCUAUAUAGGCAAGGUUUAACACUCUUAUUGUUAAAAACUGCCGUAAUAAAGACUUAACGGGAGAAAAGACUGCUUUCACUGCUGCAAAUCUGAGAACUGAAAGAUAGUACUCGAAAGGGAUGUAGCUUAAAUUGAUUUUUUACUCUUAACUGUUUAGUUUUGAGAUAAAUCGUGUUAUGGAUGAGUUCCAUUGGUGUACUUUGCUGUUUCUUGAAUAAAUAUAUUACUCAGUACAGUGUUUAAUCAUGCAGUUUGUUGUUUUUAUGAUGUGGUGGAAACACAUCAUAAAACACAUUGUUUUGAUGAUGAUGAUGAUGAUGAUGAUGUGUGAUUUUAAAGAAGGACACUCCACAUUGUAGCAGUAUCAAUUUUCAAAGGCCUUGCUUUGUUAACAGGUUGAACACUAAAUAGGCUUGAAACGUUACGUACCAUCCAACGGGAUACGGUGGAAGAAAAACGGUACCACUCCUCAUGAUGACUGUAGAUGGAUUUUUUUGCGAUUUUGUAUUUACUAAAUGGUGGUUUAAAAAAAAUAUAUAUAAGAAUCAAGUUAUCUGAAUAACUACCUAAUAUGACUAACCUGAAAAAAGCUGCCACCACUAUAAUGUACCACCACCUACUGCAUUCAGUGGAUGAUAACUUGAAAGGCAAUGCUGUUGGGGCUAAGCGCUACUGAAUAUUUAGCUCCUUCAGAAUCUGUCCCUGUUGUUUUUACAUGUAUGAUGAUGACAAAGUGUUUUUUUUUCUUCAUUAUUACCACUGGUGGAAGAUGAUGUCCUCCCAACUCCUACUGUC